rnacentral:pre_miRNA from 1 species
GGGAGGAGCGCCGGAUCCUGGGCUGUGUCCCCGGCGCCCUGGGCUCUGGGCCUGCGCUGCUAGAACCGCCCUCCCGGGCUGCGCAGCCCCCU